rnacentral:lncRNA from 1 species
GGGGAAACGGAUGAGGAUCCAUUCUCCUAGUUUUGUAUGGUAGUACCAUCUGCUGUUUAGGCAGAUAAGCAGCUAGUUGGUUGCGUGGAACUUCUGGCGGCAGAGGAAGAAGUUCUGGCUGGUUCUGGGGAGCCUAGAUUGGUGGCGGACCUAUUGCAAGAGCUAAAACUUCCUGUUCUUGGACUACAAGAGCUUCCCCCCCUCUGUCUAUCCUAAAUUCUUGCAUGUUCUGGUAUUCCAGCUAUCUGUGCAAUUAAAGGGUUCUCUUGAUAUGGCCAUACGUCUGCUCAUGGUACUGCCGUGAGCUGACUGUCUAGCAUCACUUUCUUUUGAUUCGUG